rnacentral:rRNA from 1 species
UACAGAGGUCUCAAGCGUUGUUCGGAUUCAUUGGGCGUAAAGGGUGCGUAGGUGGCAUGGUAAGUCGGAUGUGAAAUCCCGGGGCUCAACCCCGGAACUGCAUUCGAUACUGCUGCGCUAGAGUACUGGAGAGGAGAUUGGAAUUUACGGUGUAGCAGUGAAAUGCGUAGAUAUCGGGAGGAAUACCAGUGGCGAAGGCGGCGACCUGGGCCAAUACUGACGCUGAGGUGCGAAAGCGUGGGGAGCAAACAGG